CAGCGCCCCAAGUGGCAACCGCGUUUAUUGGGCCUAAAGCGUUCGUAGCCGGUUAAGUAAAUCUUUUGUGAAAUUGUCAAGCUCAACUUGACACCGUGCAGAAGACACUGCUUAACUAGGAACCGGGAGGAGUCAGAAGUAUUCCGGGGGGAGCGGUAAAAUGUUAUAAUCCUCGGAAGACUACCUGUGGCGAAGGCGUCUGACCAGAACGGAUUCGACGGUGAGGAACGAAAGCUAGGGGAGCAAAACGGAUUAGAUACCCGAGUAGUCC
rnacentral:rRNA from 1 species